rnacentral:lncRNA from 1 species
GAUAAUUAAGCCCCCGCAACUGAAAAUUUAAGACGUAUUAUUAUCAUCACAGAAAUCCGAAGCACUUUGUGCAAAGUUUAAUUAUUUCCCAGAAUUUAUUUCCUAUCCUCUUUCGGCUCAUUCUAGCUACCUGCAAAAGAUUACUGGAAGAAUUAGCUUGAAGAAACAUCAAAAUUAAGGAAUGAUUGUAUUUCCUCAAGAUCAUUUGAUGUUAAAGCCGUCGCAAACUGAAAAAACCCAGUUUCUUGGAGUCGUAAAGCCUCUGCAAAUGCCAAGUCCCUAGUGAAUUAAAUAGGGCAUAUCAUAUGUCGCGCACAAGAUAAACACUUACUCGAGUCAACAGAAAUAACUCU